rnacentral:rRNA from 1 species
UACAGAGGUGGCAAGCGUUGUUCGGAAUUACUGGGCGUAAAGGGCGCGUAGGCGGCCUUCUAAGUCAGACGUGAAAUCCCCAGGCUUAACCUGGGAACUGCGUCUGAUACUGGAAGGCUUGAGUUCGGGAGAGGAAUGUGGAAUUCCAGGUGUAGCGGUGAAAUGCGUAGAUAUCUGGAGGAACACCGGUGGCGAAGGCGGCAUUCUGGACCGAAACUGACGCUGAGGCGCGAAAGCCAGGGGAGCAAACGGG